rnacentral:rRNA from 1 species
CCUACGGGAGGCAGCAGUAGGGAAUAUUGCUCAAUGGGGGAAACCCUGAAGCAGCAACGCCGCGUGGAGGAUGAAGGUUUUCGGAUUGUAAACUCCUUUUGUUAGAGAAGAUAAUGACGGUAUCUAACGAAUAAGCACCGGCUAACUCCGUGCCAGCAGCCGCGGUAAUACGGAGGGUGCAAGCGUUACUCGGAAGCACUGGGCGGAAAGAGCGCGUAGGCGGGAUAGCAAGUCAGAUGUGAAAUCCUAUGGCUUAACCAUAGAACUGCAUUUGAAACUGUUAUUCUAGAGUAUGGGAGAGGUAGGUGGAAUUCUUGGUGUAGGGGUAAAAUCCGUAGAGAUCAAGAGGAAUACUCAUUGCGAAGGCGACCUGCUAGAACAUAACUGACGCUGAUGCGCGAAAGCGUGGGGAGCAAACAGGAUUAGAUACCCCGGUAGUC